rnacentral:lncRNA from 1 species
CACACAUAUAUAUAUCUGUAUAUAUAUAUAUAUAUGUGUGUGUGUGUGUGUGAGAGUGUGUGUGUAAUGGUUGUCUGCAAGAAACACCUUUAAUUAAUCACAGCCAACCCUCAAAUAAUACGCAUAGUAUAGGACCCUUACAAUGCUACACUCCCAACUCUUCUCCCCACCCACCUUUUGUUUUCUUUCCUUCCACGGAUUCUGUGACAUCUUCCUCUCCUCAUUGACUCUGCAUGAAGGGGAUUCCUGGUGGGGGAAGGGUAGCUGGUGAGAAAUGAGGUAUCAAGAAACUAGCAAAGCAUCUUCUGGCUGUCUGUGGACAGUUCUUGUGUGGUCCCCAGCCUAGUCUCAAGGGUUCUGGGCUGGUCACCCUGCAGCCUCUGUGCUGUGUCACCAGAUUCGGGCUCUGAGGGAAGGGCCCUGGGAGGCCCAACAGAGCGGGGUGCCUUGUCUAACAUCCCCCCGUUCCUCUGGCUGUGUGGCUCAGGAAUAGGCCCAGACAGUGUGUCCAGGUGGUGCCAGGUCACCUCACUGCCCCCUUUGAGAUGGGCCCAGAGGGUUUUGUGGGGUGAGCAUGAAGCUGGGCACCCAAAGCCUGGGGCCGAGUGCCCCUCCCUGUGUCCCAGAGGAGGGGCCCUGACCUGAGAAGAUCCCCAGUGCCUGGCUUAUGGGUGCCAAUGUGGGGAGGGGUGGCUCUGAGGACUGAAGCGGGUCACUGAAAGAAGACAUUGAGCUCCAUGGCUCAGGGACCUUGGCAGUAGAGGCCUGGUAAGCAGAGACUAGGACACUGGGACUUGGUCACAAAAAAUAUGAUCAGAAAGGGCAUGGCCAUCAGAGAGUUGGUCAGGCGGCCUGGUCAUUGAGGGACUGUCAGUGAGGACCUGGUCACUGGGUGCUUGGUCAAUGGGUCUUGGUCAGUGGGGACCUGGUAAGUGGAGAUCUGAUUACUGGGGGCUUGGUCAUCAAGAGCCUGGUCAGUCAGGACCUGGUCAGUGAGGACCUGGUCAGUGAAGGACUUGUGGGGGGGCAUUGGUCAGCAGCGGCCUUGUCGGGGGAGGCUUGGUCAGUGGGGGCCUAGUUAGUGGGGUCCUGGCCAGCCGGCUGCUGGGUGACCUCAUGCAGGGGUUUGUCCUUGGAGCUUGCUUGCCGCCAUCUGUAGUGGGGAUGAGUCACAUCACCCCAGAGGGCUACUGGGAGGAGGAGAUGAGCAGGUGUGUGGAAUCCGGCCCUGCCCAACAGACCUAGCACUUUACACCCUAGCUGAGUCCCCUGCUAAAGAGGGGGCCUGCUCUCUGCCCUCCACCCUCAAUUCUCUGCUCCCCGUCCACAGGACUGCCCCACCUAGGGAGGGCUGAGGUUGGGGAACACCUGUGGACACUCUGAUGCUGGCCACAGGCCCAGGGCCGGGCGUGACAGUGACAAGGACCUGAGUGCGUACAUGAAUGGGGCCACCUGGCCCAGCCACAGAAGCAACACACCAUAUGCACGUGUUCACCCACAUAUAUGUGCACGCUCACAUUUACAAACACACUGCAUGCACACAUGUUGAUGCUUCGGGGGUGGAGGACGGUGACUGUGGGCCCUGCUGACCCAGGCGGGGGCCCAUUGUGAUGGGUGCCGUGAUCCCGUAAUGUCACUGGUGCUGAGUACCCACCCGCCUACCUGGCUGCCUUCUCUGUGUCUGGAGCUCUUAGAGACAAGAUAAACAGCGAUGUCUGGUUCUGCUCAGAGGAGGCUUUCUUAAGUGAGAGGCACAGUUGGAUCAGCAGACUCAGCUGAGUGUGACCUGCUCUGUUCCCUCCCUGCUGACCUGGGACAGUCGCUACCAGGCAGUGCUGGCCUCUGGGCGGGUGCCGAGGAGGGUCAUCCCUGAGCACUCACCAGGUAGGUGCCUGUUCUGCACUGACGGUAUAGAUGUUCGUCUUGUUGGUCGUCACAGUGACGCUGGUGGGGGUGGGUGCUGUCCCCUAAUGUACCCAUUCCACAGGUGAGAUGUCUAGGGUCAGAGAGGCAGCGACUGGUCCAGAGACCCAGAUGUGACCCUGGGCCAUGCUCUUAGCCCUGCCCUGUGCUACGCUGGACUCAAGCCCUGACCUCUGUGGCCUCCCUGCCCUGGAUUCCAAAUCCAUCCGGGGUUCCAGCCCCUGAUGGGGCAGAGUCUGGCCCUGGAAGAGCCACUGGGACAGAGAUCCUAUGGGUGAGGUGGAGGGGGUGGUCCUCAGUCCAAGUCUGUGCCCUAAGCUGGGACCCCGCGGGAGGUCUCACCAACUCAGACUUCACAUGUGGUCACUGAGGGUCAUUGUGGGACCCACUGGACACAGGGGGUCCCUUGUCUGGGAGUGGGGUGAAGAGCCUUCUGCCCUUGGGCAGUUAGGUAGGGGACUUUGAGCACUGCUGCUUUGGGACCUGGGAAGUGGGGACCUGGGCAGCGGGGUCCUCGUCAUUGAGAACAUGGUCAGUGAGAGAUUUGGUCAUCAUGGGUUGGGUCAGGGGGGCCUGGUCAGCAGAGACUUGGACACUGGGGCUUAGUGAAAAUAUGAUCAGUGGGGAAAUAGUCACGGGGCCUGCUCAGUAGGGCCUGGCUAGCAGAGGCCUGGCCAGCUGGCCACUGGAUGACCUGACAGGGGGUUUGUCCUUGGAGCCUCUUUGCCUCUAUUCAUAGUGGGGAUGAGUCAUAGCAUCCCUCAGCACUCGCCAGGUGCAGGUUUUGUGCUGACCUUGUAGAUGGCCUUUUCCUUCAUCCCCACAGCAACUCCAUGGGGCGGAUCCUGUCCCCGAAUGUAGCCAUUCCACAGGUGAGAUGUCUAGAGUCAGAGAGGUGAUGACUGGCCCAGAGACCCAGAUGUGGCCUGGGCCGUGCACUCAGCCCUGCCCUGUGCAGUGCUAGACUCAAGCCCUGACCUUUGCAGCCUCCCUGCCUUAGAUCCCACAUUUCCCUGGGGUUCUGGACCCUGAUGGGGUGGAGGGGGUGAUUCUCAGUCCAAGUCUGUGCCCAAAGCUUGGUCCCCACAGGAGGAGGUCUCAUCAACUCAGACUUCAGGUGCGGUCACUGAUGGUUGCUGUGGGACCCACUGGACACAUGGAGUCCUUCGUCUGGGAGUGGGGUGGGGAGGCCUCUGCCCUCGGGCAGUUGUGGAAAAUGAAGGAGCUCUAGAGGGCUGCCUGGAGGGUGAUGAUCGUCCCUCUUGGUCAAAGGGGCUUGGGGACUGGAACCUUCUCUGUCUGAUUCUCUAGAGGUCUUGUCUUCCCUUUGUCCCAAGUAUUCCCAAGGAAGAUGGUCCCCCUGGGUGUUCUCCAGGACCAAGUCCCCAGAAUUCUCUUGUUUUUUCCUUGGUGAUCCAGGAAAACGAAGCCCCCUCCUGUAUUGACAGCUGGGAAUUGUGGAGUCCACCGUCCUCCACCUGAGACGAGCACAGGGUCUCCACGAGGACAGAGGCUGCUUUGGACUCAAUAGAAAACUGGGCAUCUUCAUGGUCCUAGAAGGAUCCCAGGAGGCUGAUCCUAUAGAGACGUCUGGUUCCUGACCCCAACUGCCUCCAGGAUGGAGAUGGAUGAGCACCCGGAUAUCCUGCCCACCCAGGGGCAAGGCAACAUCAUCAUUACUAAGUAUGAGCAGGGACGCUGAGCUGGGGCAGCAGUGGACACAGAGCAUGAGCGUGUUGACAUCUGGAAAUUCACCAGUCGUCUCUGGGUUGUGUGUGAGACAGAGCUGCCCGUGUCAGUGCCCUGGAGGUGAAGGGAAGAGCCUGUGCCUGCUGCGUGGGAGACUGGUCCAGGGACAGGGAAUCAGGAGUGGUUGGUGAGACAGAGGGGGUGGCCUGCGGGCCCGGGCGGUGGUAAGUGGGCCAGGGCUGUCCCUGGGAGGGGCGGCCUUUCCUGACGGACUCUGUUCCCAUGAGCAUUUGACCAAAACCCAAAUCAAGAACCACAGUCUUGGCUCAGAGGUCACUGCCUGUUUGUACCAAGUCCCCAGCUAAGGGCCAGGACCUGACCAAAACUCGGGGUGUCUGUGGCCUGAGGAUGGUGUGUCCUGGCAUGACCAGUCCAGACCACCAGCUCCAGUUAGUUCAGAGGGUCUCAGCCCCCGGGCUCUGCUCUUUCCUUGCUCCUUCAGGGCCCCAAAGCCCAGGACCCAGCAUCCAUGGGCCGCUGCCGGAGGCCUGGCAGCUCCGCUAACUCCAUCAUGGCUCAUUUGACAGCAAAGGUGUCAGGAAAUAAAAUGUACUGACAAGUGGCUGAAGAUGCUUGGAGACUGGCCAAAAUAUAAGAACAGCAAGAAGGUGACAUGGCGGUUGGGCCUGGUAGCUCAGGCCUGUAACCCCAGCACUUCGGGAGGCUGAGGUGGGCGGAUCACCUGAGGUCAGGAGU